AGCGGGGUAGCGCAGUUAGGCAGCGCGUGGGGCUCAUAACCCCGAGGCCGCGGGUUCGAAUCCCGCCCCCGCCACCA
rnacentral:tRNA from 1 species